rnacentral:rRNA from 1 species
UACGGAGGAUGCGAGCGUUAUCCGGAUUUAUUGGGUUUAAAGGGUGCGUAGGCGGGCUUUUAAGUCAGCGGUAAAAAUUCGGGGCUCAACCCCGUCCGGCCGUUGAAACUGGGGGUCUUGAGUGGGCGAGAAGAAGGCGGAAUGCGUGGUGUAGCGGUGAAAUGCAUAGAUAUCACGCAGAACCCCGAUUGCGAAGGCAGCAUACCGGUGCACAACUGACGCUCAGGCACGAAAGCGUGGGUAUCGAACAGG